rnacentral:rRNA from 1 species
CGGGGCUUAAAGUCUUGUAAUUGGAAUGAUGGGAAUUUAAACCUCUUCCAGAGUAUCAAUUGGAGGGCAAGUCUGGUGCCAGCAGCCGCGGUAAUUCCAGCUCCAAUAGCGUAUAUUAAAAUUGUUGCAGUUAAAAAGCUCGUAGUUGAAUUUCUGCUGCAUUGCAUGUGUCCCUCUGGGGUCUGUGCAUGUGGCUUUUUUCGGACGGAGUUUCUUUGUCUGAAUGUUUACUUUGAGAAAAUUAGAGUGCUCAAAGCAGGCUUUCGCCUUGAAUAGUUUAGCAUGGAAUAAUAAAGUAGGACUUUGGUUCUAUUUUGUUGGUUUUAGGUACCAAAGUAAUGGUUAAUAGGAACAGUUGGGGGCAUUCGUAUUUAACUGUCAGAGGUGAAAUUCUUAGAUUUGUUAAAGACGAACUACUGCGAAAGCAUUUGCCAAGGAUGUUUUCAUUAAUCAAGAAC